AAACGACAAAGGGGGAGAAAAGAAAGAGAAAGAUCAAAAGAGGGGUGUGGGGAAAUAAGUGGUAACCUGUCAACUCAAGGAGGAAACCCACGCAGACACGGGGAUAACAUGCAAACUCCACACAGAGGACGACCCAAGACGAACCCCAAGGCUGGACUACCCAGGGGCUCGAACCCAGGACCUUCUUGCUGUGAGGCGACUGCGCUUACCACUGCGCCACCGUGCCGCCUCAUCCAGCAUCUGUAGGACAAUUUCAGGAGAGUGAGUUCUGGUUGGAGGGAAGUGUGGGCGUCCAUUGAAUUACGUCCUUUGUACUGGAUCCUGUUCAUCCCCUCGUUUUCUGCUGUCUCUUGAGUAAUCAAGCAGGGUAACAGCUAUUGUACC